rnacentral:snoRNA from 1 species
AUGCCAUGAUGAAUGAUUUAGCAGAAGAGUUCUUGAAGACUAUAUUCAUCACCCAAUCCUGA